rnacentral:rRNA from 1 species
GAUGAACGCUGGCGGCGUGCCUAAUACAUGCAAGUCGAGCGAACAGACGAGGAGCUUGCUCCUCUGACGUUAGCGGCGGACGGGUGAGUAACACGUGGAUAACCUACCUAUAAGACUGGGAUAACUUCGGGAAACCGGAGCUAAUACCGGAUAAUAUAUUGAACCGCAUGGUUCAAUAGUGAAAGACGGUUUUGCUGUCACUUAUAGAUGGAUCCGCGCCGCAUUAGCUAGUUGGUAAGGUAACGGCUUACCAAGGCAACGAUGCGUAGCCGACCUGAGAGGUGGAUCGGCCACCCUGGAACUGAGACACGGUCCAGACUCCUACGGGAGGCCGCAGUAGGGAAUAUUCCGCAAUGGGCGAAAGCCUGACGGAGCAACGCCGCGUGAGAGAUGAAGGUCUUCGGAUCGUAAAACUCUGUUAUUAGGGAAGAACAAAUGUGUAAGUAACUAUGCACGUCUUGACGGUACCUAAUCAGAAAGCCACGGCUAACUACGUG